rnacentral:RNase_P_RNA from 1 species
GGUUGGCCAGACGGUCGCGUUAAUGCUGUGGUGGCAUUACCGAGGAAAGUCCGAGCUUCAAGAGAACUGGGUGCCGGUUAACUGCCGGUGAAGGUAACUUUAAGGAAAGUGCAACAGAAAAUUACCGCCCGCUUUAAGCGAGUAAGGUUGAAAAGGUGUGUGUAAGAGACCACCGACUCUUUGGUAACAAAGGGUGCCAUGUAAACCCCACCUGAAGCAAGGUUAAAAAAGGCAAUAGCGCUUGUUCUCUCGCGCCUUUUAAAAGCACCGCUUGACUGUUAUGGAGACAUAACAGCUAGAUAGAUGACCGUUUAAUACAGAACUCGGCUUACAGACCAGCCUA